rnacentral:rRNA from 1 species
CGGUCAGUACGUUUACUUUGAAAAAAUUAGAGUGCUCAAAGCAGGCAUUUCGCCUGAAUACUGUUGCAUGGAAUAAUGAAAUAGGACUUUGGUUCUAUUUUGUUGGUCUUCGGAACCAAGGUAAUGAUUAAGAGGGACAGACGGGGGCAUUAGUAUUGCGACGCUAGAGGUGAAAUUCUUGGACCGUCGCAAGACUAACUAAAGCGAAAGCAUUUGCCAAGAAUGUUUUCAUUAAUCAAGAACGAAAGUUAGAGGUUCGAAGGCGAUCAGAUACCGCCCUAGUUCUAACCAUAAACGAUGCCAACCAGCAAUCAGCCUGAGUUCUCUUAAUGACUCGGCUGGCGGCUUCCGGGAAACCAAAGUUUUUCGGUUCCAGGGGAAGUAUGGUUGCAAAGCUGAAACUUAAAGGAAUUGACGGAAGGGCACCACCAGGAGUGGAGCCUGCGGCUUAAUUUGACUCAACACGGGGAAACUCACCCGGCCCGGACACUGGAAGGAUUGACAGAUUGAGAGCUCUUUCUUGAUUCAGUGGGUGGUGGUGCAUGGCCGUUCUUAGUUGGUGGAGUGAUUUGUCCGGUUAAUUCCGUUAACGAACGAGACCUUAGCCUACUAA